AGUGAACGCUGGCGGUAGGCCUAACACAUGCAAGUCGAACGGCAGCACAGUAAGAGCUUGCUCUUACGGGUGGCGAGUGGCGGACGGGUGAGGAAUACAUCGGACUCUACUUUUUCGUGGGGGAUAACGUAGGGAAACUUACGCUAAUACCGCAUCCGCCCUACGGGUGAGAGCAGGGGAUCUUCGGACCUUGCGGGAUUGAAUGCGCCGAUGUCGGAUUAGCUAGUUGGCGGGGUAAAGGCCCACCAAGGCGACGAUCCGUAGCUGGUCGGAGAGGAUGAUCGGCCACACUGGAACGGAGACACGGUCCAGACUCCUACGGGAGGCAGCAGUGGGGAAUAUUGGACAAUGGGCGCAAGCCUGAUCCAGCCAUACCGCGUGGGUGAAGAAGGCCUUCGGGUUGUAAAGCCCUUUUGUUGGGAAAGAAAAGCAGCAGGUUAAUACCCCGCUGUUCUGACGGUACCCAAAGAAUAAGCACCGGCUAACUUCGUG
rnacentral:rRNA from 1 species